AACGAACGCUGGCGGCAGGCUUAACACAUGCAAGUCGAACGCACCUUUCGGGGUGAGUGGCAGACGGGUGAGUAACGCGUGGGAAUCUACCCUUCUCUACGGGAUAGCUCCGGGAAACUGGAAUUAAUACCGUAUACGUCCUGAGGGAGAAAGAUUUAUCGGGGAAGGAUGAGCCCGCGUUGGAUUAGCUAGUUGGUGGGGUAAAGGCCUACCAAGGCGACGAUCCAUAGCUGGUCUAGGAGGAUGAUCAGCUACAUUGGGACUGAGACACGGCCCAAACUCCUACGGGAGGCAGCAGUGGGGAAUAUUGGACAAUGGGCGCAAGCCUGAUCCAGCCAUGCCGCGUGAGUGAUGAAGGCCCUAGGGUUGUAAAGCUCUUUCAGUGGGGACGAUAAUGACGGUACCCACAGAAGAAGCCCCGGCUAACUUCGUG
rnacentral:rRNA from 1 species